UACAGAGGGUGCAAGCGUUAAUCGGAGUUACUGGGCGUAAAGCGUGCGCAGGCGGUUAUGUAAGACAGGUGUGAAAUCCCCGGGCUUAACCUGGGAACUGCAUUUGUGACUGUAGAGCUGGAGUACGGCGAGAGGGGGAUGGAAUUCCGCGUGUAGCAGUGAAAUGCGUAGAUAUGCGGAGGAACACCGAUGGCGAAGGCAAUCCCCUGGGCCUGUACUGACGCUCAUGCACGAAAGCGUGGGGAGCAAACAGG
rnacentral:rRNA from 1 species